GUAUAGCAAUAGCUACUUGCAUCUUUGUAUACAUGAUGCAAGAUCGACUAUGAUCGAAUAAAAUUCUAGGUAGAAUUAUGAUAAUGACAUUGUCUGCCUAUGUGUCUUGACCAAAUUACGUGCCAGCAGUCGCGGUAAUACGUAGAAGACUAGUGUUAUUCAUGUUUAAUCGGUUUAAAGGGUACCUAGACGGUAAAUCAAGCCUACAAAUAAAAGAAAUGAAGGGACUAAUUUGCUAGAGUUACUUAUGAGGGGGUAUUAAAGUACUGCUGGUGUAGAGAUGAAAUUCUGUCAUACCUCUUUUCAAUAGAAAAAUAAUGGCACAGGUAUAGGCGAAAGCAUCCCCUUAUGUGAUAACUGACGUUGAGGGACGAAGGCUUUGUGUAGCGAACAGGAUUAGAUACCCCAGUAGUCAAAGCAGAAAAUGAUGAAUGUCAUAGAUUAGAUAUAUAAGUUUAUUCUAUAAAUGAAAGUGUAAGCAUUCCACCUCAAGAGUAAUUUGGCAACAUUGGAACUGAAAUCAUUAGACCGUUUCUGAAACCAGUAGUGAAGUAUGUUGUUUAAUUUGAUGAUCCGCAAAAAACCUUACCACAAUUUGAAUAUUUAUAUCUUUUAUUGUUUUUUUUUAUUU
rnacentral:rRNA from 1 species